rnacentral:pre_miRNA from 1 species
AGCCCGCUGUAUCCGUGCUGAGAUUUCGUCAAAGAUCAACCCGCUGGGGCUGAUGGUACUUCCCAAAAUAAGUGAAGCA